rnacentral:misc_RNA from 1 species
GAACGCAUCUUGCGCUCCUUGGUAUUCUGAGGAGCAUGCCUGUUUGAGCGUCAUUUCAACCCUCAAGCUCUGCUUGGUGUUGGGCCCCGCCCGCUCGCGGCCGGCCCUAAAGACAGUGGCGGCAGCGUCUGGCUCCAAGCGUAGUACAAUCCUCGCUCUGGUGCUAGGCGGUGGCCUGCCAGAACCCCCCUUCUAUGGUUGACCUCGGAUCAGGUAGGGAUACCCGCUGAACUUAAG